CUGCAGUAUCACUCAUGACUUCAGUGGUCUAUCUGUGUCAAGAGAAAAAUAUCUGUCUUUAUCAGAUCAGCAGAGCAUCGACUACAUCUCCGCUGCUGUUUUCUACUGAAUCUGGAGCAGUUUGUGUUUCUGCAGCUGGUGAAAAGCUUCAAGCACAGCAGAGAAAUCUCACCAUGGAUUAUGAUCAGUACUCUGACCAAUACAUUCAAGAACAUGACAUUGGGUCUGAAAGUCCUCAACGUCUGCCAAUCAGAGAGGUCAUCUUCCUUUUCUUUGCUGAGUGUUCUGGUUGGGCAGCUCUGUUUUG
rnacentral:lncRNA from 1 species